rnacentral:tRNA from 1 species
GCGGGUGUGGCGGAAUCGGUAGACGCAGCGGACUCAAAAUCCGCCGUAGCAAUACGUGUCGGUUCGAGUCCGACCACCCGCACCA